rnacentral:rRNA from 1 species
AGCGAACGCUGGCGGCAGGCUUAACACAUGCCAGUCGAACGGGCAUCUUCGGAUGUCAGUGGCAGACGGGUGCGUAACACGUGGGAACGUACCCUUCGGUUCGGAAUAACUCAGGGAAACUUGAGCUAAUACCGGAUACGCCCUUUUGGGGAAAGGUUUACUGCCGAAGGAUCGGCCCGCGUCUGAUUAGCUUGUUGGUGGGGUAACGGCCUACCAAGGCGACGAUCAGUAGCUGGUCUGAGAGGAUGAUCAGCCACACUGGGACUGAGACACGGCCCAGACUCCUACGGGAGGCAGCAGUGGGGAAUAUUGGACAAUGGGCGCAAGCCUGAUCCAGCCAUGCCGCGUGAGUGAUGAAGGCCUUAGGGUUGUAAAGCUCUUUUGUCCGGGACGAUAAUGACGGUACCGGAAGAAUAAGCCCCGGCUAACUUCGUG